AUUGAACGCUGGCGGCAUGCCUUACACAUGCAAGUCGAACGGCAGCGGACCUUCGGGUGCCGGCGAGUGGCGAACGGGUGAGUAAUGUAUCGGAACGUACCUUUCAGUGGGGGAUAACGUAGCGAAAGUUACGCUAAUACCGCAUAUUCUCUGAGGAGGAAAUCAGGGGACCUUCGGGCCUUGUGCUGUAAGAGCGGCCGAUAUCAGAUUAGCUAGUUGGUGAGGUAAAGGCUCACCAAGGCUACGAUCUGUAGCGGGUCUGAGAGGAUGAUCCGCCACACUGGAACUGAGACACGGUCCAGACUCCUACGGGAGGCAGCAGUGGGGAAUUUUGGACAAUGGGGGCAACCCUGAUCCAGCCAUGCCGCGUGAGUGAAGAAGGCCUUCGGGUUGUAAAGCUCUUUCGGCCGGGAAGAAAUCGCUUAGGCUAAUAUCCUGAGUGGAUGACGGUACCGGAAUAAGAAGCACCGGCUAACUACGUGCCAGCCGCCGCCGUAAAAC
rnacentral:rRNA from 1 species